UAAAAGUACUAAUUUUUAGUAAUCCCUGCUCAAUGAAAUUUUAAAAGCCGCAGAAUCUGUGCUAAGGUAGCAUAAUCAUUUGCCUAAUAAUUAUAGGAUAGAAUGAACGGGAAAACAUGUAAGUUUCUUUAUCAAAAAAAUUAUUUUAAUUUAGCUAGUAAGUAAAAAUACUUACUACAUUAGGGGGACGAUAAGACCCUAACAAACUUUACAUAUUGUUUAGCUGGGGUGGCAAAAAAAAUAAAACCUUUACAUAAAAUUUUAAAUAAACCUAAAUAUUAUAUUAUUCCAAGUUACUGUAGGGAUAACAGCACAAUUUUACCUCGAAGACCUUAUAAAAGGUGAAGUUUGUGACCUCGAUGUUGAAUUAAAGAUCUCUAUGAGGCAGCACUCUAAGAAGAAAGUCUGUUCGACUUUUAAACCAUU
rnacentral:rRNA from 1 species